UACGGAGGGUGCAAGCGUUAUCCGGAUUCACUGGGUUUAAAGGGUGCGUAGGCGGCCUUGCAAGUCAGUGGUGAAAGCCCGCAGCUCAACUGCGGAACUGCCAUUGAAACUGCUUGGCUGGAGUACAAUUGAAGUGGGCGGAAUACAUCAUGUAGCGGUGAAAUGCUUAGAUAUGAUGUAGAACUCCGAUUGCGAAGGCAGCUCACUAAAUUGUAACUGACGCUGAGGCACGAAAGCGUGGGUAGCGAACAGG
rnacentral:rRNA from 1 species